AUUGAACGCUGGCGGCAUGCCUUACACAUGCAAGUCGAACGGUAACAGGUCUUCGGAUGCUGACGAGUGGCGAACGGGUGAGUAAUACAUCGGAACGUGCCUAGUAGUGGGGGAUAACUACUCGAAAGAGUGGCUAAUACCGCAUGAGAUCUACGGAUGAAAGCAGGGGAUCGCAAGACCUUGCGCUACUAGAGCGGCCGAUGGCAGAUUAGGUAGUUGGUGGGAUAAAAGCUUACCAAGCCGACGAUCUGUAGCUGGUCUGAGAGGACGAUCAGCCACACUGGGACUGAGACACGGCCCAGACUCCGACGGGAGGCGGCAGUGGGGAAUUUUGGACAAUGGGCGCAAGCCUGAUCCAGCAAUGCCGCGUGCAGGAUGAAGGCCUUCGGGUUGUAAACUGCUUUUGUACGGAACGAAAAGCCCUGGGUUAAUACCCUGGGGUCAUGACGGUACCGUAAGAAUAAGCACCGGCUAACUACGUGCCAGCAGCCGCCGUAAAAC
rnacentral:rRNA from 1 species